AAAGUCGUAACAAGGUCUCCGUUGGUGAACCAGCGGAGGGAUCAUUACAAGAGCGCCGAAAGGCUGCUUAAAACCAUCGUGAACCUAUCCAUCAGCGUUGCUUCGGCGGGAGCGCUCGCGGGGCCGGAGUCUCUCCGGUCCCCGGGCCGUGGACCCCACACCUCCGGGUGCGGGGCCGCCCGCCGGAGGUACGAAACUCUUCUGCAUCUUAGUGGCAUCUCUGAGUAAACAAGCAAAUAAUUAAAACUUUCAACAACGGAUCUCUUGGUUCUG
rnacentral:misc_RNA from 1 species